ensembl:misc_RNA Y_RNA Y RNA
GGCUUGUCUGAAGGUAGUUAUCUCAAUUGACUGUUCAGUCAGUUACAGAUGGAACUCCUUGUUCUACUCUUUCCCGCCUUACUACUGCACUUGACUAGUCUAAA